AGAUUGAACGCUGGCGGCAGGCCUAACACAUGCAAGUCGAGCGGUAGAGAGGUGCUUGCACCUCUUGAGAGCGGCGGACGGGUGAGUAAUGCCUAGGAAUCUGCCUAGUGGUGGGGGAUAACGUUCGGAAACGGACGCUAAUACCGCAUACGUCCUACGGGAGAAAGCGGGGGACCUUCGGGCCUCGCGCCAUUAGAUGAGCCUAGGUCGGAUUAGCUAGUUGGUGAGGUAAUGGCUCACCAAGGCGACGAUCCGUAACUGGUCUGAGAGGAUGAUCAGUCACACUGGAACUGAGACACGGUCCAGACUCCUACGGGAGGCAGCAGUGGGGGAAUAUUGGACAAUGGGCGAAAGCCUGAUCCAGCCAUGCCGCGUGUGUGAAGAAGGUCUUCGGAUUAGUAAAGCUAACUUUAAGG
rnacentral:rRNA from 1 species